UACGUAGGCAGCAAGCGUUGUUCGGAGUUACUGGGCGUAAAGGGUGCGUAGGCGGCCUUAUAAGUAUGGUGUGAAAUCUCCCGGCUUAACUGGGAGGGUGCGCUAUAGACUGUGGGGCUAGAGUGUGGGAGAGGAAAGUGGAAUUCCUGGUGUAGCGGUGAAAUGCGUAGAUAUCAGGAGGAACACCGGUGGUGUAGACGGCUAUCUGGACCGUAACUGACGCUGAGGCACGAAAGCGUGGGUAGCAAACAGG
rnacentral:rRNA from 1 species